UAAUCACUGAUUAAAGACUUAAUAAUUAGGGUUCGGCAUCCAUUAAUAAUAAAACUGAUUUGAUUUAUCUGAUAUGAUUUAAUUGUUAUAUAUGUGUUUUGAUGUGCUAAAUUCUUAUUAUUAUUUGAAUUCGUUUGAGAUUUAAAGGAUUAUUGAGUAGUCAAUAAUUAUUAUUUCGGAUUAUAACUGACUUAGCAGAAUCAUGUUAUUUAAUUUAUAUACGAUAGAAAUAGUAUUUCUAUUAUUUACUUGAAGUCGUAAUUAAUUUUCGACUUAUAAAACGAGUUAUAAAAUAUGUAUUUAUAGAGAGUUAUAACGAAGCUUCGUUAUAUGGGAACCCGAAAUUAGUAUUACAAAUACAGAAUAAGGAUUUUAUUCAUCACAUUCAUCUAGCACCUACACAUUUCCACAUCCAUCUUACUCUUAAAUAAAUUGAUGGUGUUGGAAACACUCAUCAUAUGCCAACUAUCCCACUAAACACUCAUCAUUCCACUAAACACUCAUUAUUCCACACACUCAUCAUUCCACUAAACACUCUUUACACCUUCUUUUGCCAGCCAUCUUCUACACUUUAACAUCUCAACAUGCAAUUAGUUUUUAUUUAAUCAAAAUCAGCAACCAACAUUCCUCCCAUUCCUCCUAACAUUCUGAUCCAAGCUAUUCUUAUGCUUGAAUUAUAAUUCACUGAUUCCAGCUUUCCAAAUCAGUUUCCAAGAUCUCCCAAAACAAGAAAGAGGUAAUAAACGUCCAUUAAUUCUUCCAAUUCUUUCAUAGUUUUCAGAUCCAAAAUUUCAUUGUUAAGCUUGGCUGAAUAAAUUCGCAGAUCCAAUUUUGGUGAAUUCAGAAAGAAGAUUUUCCUCAUUUCCUACUCAUAUCAAGGUCCGGGCGACAGAAAGUGAAGCAGAAGAAGAAACGACUCCACGCCAGCUUUAAGAACAAUUGAGGUUGAGCAGGCGAUGGAAUGGAUUGGUGUUGAGCGGAUUUUCCUUUUGAUGUUUAUGUAAUGAAACCUUGAGUAUGCAUCUCCAUAUGCAUAACUCACACGUUUUUCCGCUGCAAACACUCUGAAUUUGUUAUCGUAUUGUGGAACUUAUUACUUCUUCAUUUUGUUUAACUUUCAUUUGGGGUUUAGUCGUUAUGGCUGACUCAUUUGUUAAUUACCCAAGUGGUUAUAUAUAUAUAUACCACUAGUUUGUUGUUAUUAAUGUUGGUUAUUUAGUAAAUCCCUUUUAAAUUUCCAUUUCUUAUUGUUCACCCAAGUCAUAACCCCGGUUAACCCGUCAUUGGGAUAGUGGGCUGUGACAGAGUGGUAUCAGAGCAGUUCGUUUGCUCUGGCCCUAGAAACCAUUUUCUAAAAAGUCAUGUCUAGUUUGAUUCACUAGACAUACGUGGGUUCAUACGACACCGCUCAACACUCCAUUGCAUCGUGCUCAAUCAAGGAAAAAGGUAACUGCAGUUACAAUGUUUUAAAGAUGUUAUUAUUCUAAACUGUUUCAUGAAAAUGUUUAUGUAAAGAGCAUGCUAUGAUGAAAUGUUGAAAGUUUUGCCUUUCAUUGAAAUGUUGAAUGUUUUGCCUUUCAUGGCAUAUCAUUGCAGUUAUGAUGUUAUGAUAAGAGAAGAAUGAUAGAGAAUUGACACAUGCUUUCCCCAGAAAACAUAGAUUGCUAUAAGUUGCAUGAUCACUAUUCUAAAAGAACAUAGAC